rnacentral:rRNA from 1 species
AUGAUGCGGACUGGGUUCAUUUUCAGUUUCAUGGGGUACUUAAGCAAUGGUUGCACCCCGCCACAUCACAUACCAGGCAAUGGCAGCAUGGGUGGAACGAGAGGAAGGAUGGGAAUCAGCUACUUGCAUUCGCACGGAGGAGGCAAUGUCGACGCGAUGGCACAGCAGAGGAGGCUGGGCUUGUUGUGGAGCUUCUUGAGGCAGCAGGACGUCGGCGAGAGCAUCGCUGCCGGCAACGGCUCGAGUGACCUCUUGAGGAUCUUCUCCAUGAGCACCCGUGACGACACCAACUCCAACAUCAUCUUCUCAGCGCCCGACAGCAAGAAGGCCGAGGUGCUCGGCGACAGCGAUGUCGACAUGGUCACCAGCUUCAGCAACAUCGACUCCCGGCUGCAGCAGGACUCCGCCGACUGUAGAGUCCACGCCAAGCGUGGCUGCACCACUGACCCGCAGAGCAUCGCUUGGGAGGGAAAGAAGAACAAGGACCAAUAA